GGUGGAUCCACUCUAGGAGCCUGCACCUGUGGAACACAAGAGAGAACAGCAGGAGACACACAUGCACACAUACCUGCCUGCACGUGACAACACCUGUGUACUAAAAGUUUGCAACAAACUUUAGUCCAAAGAGGUGUCUAUGCAUGUGAAAGAGGCCAUCAUUAGGCUGAAACACUCAAGAAAAGAUAAGUGCUUACAGAUUCACACCUCCAUGACACCACAACGUGCUCUGUACAUGCUCAGAGCCUUUGCAAAAGCGCAGUUGACACCCACACACUGCUGGCGUCCUGGGUGAAAACAGAGAGGAGAACAAGGGAGCCUUGGCACGCAGGGAAGCAGAAAGACACAGAGAAGAAAGAAACUAUCAUCAGGAAGAAUCACAUUUCUAGGAUGAAGCCCAAAUGCCUCCUUUCCACAGUGGACCGACUUCCUACCAUCAACGAGAUGCAGGAGAGCGACACAGAGGAUCCAGACUGUUGCUCACACACCAUGGAGGAGUAUGUAGACUCCAUCAAAGAGCUCUCCCAGCCGGCCCCCUAUCCUCUCCACGGACCCCUUAGAGGUCACCGCCGUUGGAUGGAACGCUCAUGCCCAAAAGUUAUUCCUGUGGCUCCAUCUGUAUUUUUAAAUUCCUCAAGGACCUACUUGUCCUGGAUUCCAAUUGACCUGUCAGACGUAUCAAUUACUUUAACUGACCGAUCAAACUGUGAUUCAGCAUUGCGUUUUAACCAGAACCUGUUGGACAGGUUGAUUGGACAAUCUCUGUUUGCAGGUCUGGUGUGAGUCAGAGGUAUGAUAUACAGGGUGAAGAGAUUCAUGACUUCAGUACUAGAUUUACUCAGUUAUCCCUGCAGCGUGCUUUGACAUCAGCUUCAUGUUGCACGAUUCAUUUAUAUGUAAGGAGUAACUGAGUACAGUCACUUUCCAUAAGUGAUAUGUAUUCUCUUUGAAGUGCUAAAUGAGUGCAAUACGUGAAACAAAAGAUGAAAAGGAAGAAUAUCAAGGGCAGAACAAACAAAUGAGCAGAGCCCGCCUGAGGUGUGAGCAAGCUAAGUGGUUGCGUAGGGCCCCUCAGCCACCAGGGGGCCCCAAAACAAGCUGGAAAUGUGAACUCUUUUUGGGUUUUAGGUACUGAUUUAAUUAUUAAUAUUACGAUGCCCUGCCUGAUUUUUUCAGAUUCUUCUAAAGACCCAAACUAUGGAGGAUUUAAAAUACCAAAAUAAAAAUAAAUUAAAAAGUAAAUGGAUGUGAAGCACCCCUUAGCCACCAGGGAAGGCCCAAAUUUGUGGGAGAGCCCUGACUGGAAAGUCAUAAUAUAUGGAAUGAAAGUUUGAAUAUCCAUAAUCUACAGUUAUCUUUGUCAUCAAAGUCAUAGCCUUCUGAAUUAUCCGAAUUGGCUGUAACAUUCCAAUACUUAGGGUUAAUGUUCGCCCAAUAAGCAGGAAGUGCCUAGACUGUGAGGUUCAUUGUUGUUUUCCUCAAUGUAACGCUGAAUAAAUUUCCUCUUUGGCAAAACCAUAUUGAAUAUGGUUAACAGCAUUUUUUUCUCUCUCUCUCUCUAUAUAUAUACAUCCAUUUGCCAGGGUGUUAUUUCAUUACUAUUCACGAAAAUUGCUGCUAGAUCUCAUGCUGACUCACUUGUAGUGACACACUCCUUGCAGGAACAUCCAUGUGGAACAAUAUUACAUUUCCAAAGCACAAGAUUACACCAGUGCCUUGAUAACAUCAGAUGUCACUCACUAGUCUCAAAUUUCAUUCAUGUCAUUCCACAUUUUUACACUUCAUAUAAUAUAUAUAUAUGAAAUCAAUUCAAUAUUCACAUACUAUCUUUCUCUCUCUCUCUCCCUCACACACACACAUAGUUUUUAUGACUUUACAUACCAUACCACAUAUUACAAAGAAACAAAGUGAAAUAUGAUGCACAUAGGUCAAUUCUCAUAUGUCACUGAUGACAUGAACGAAGCACCUUGAUUACUGUAAACUGUAUUCUAUGGUAUAUCUACAGAAGUUUGCAAGUUUCAGUUAAAUUCUCUAUAUUUAAAGACACACAUUGUUAAGUAUUGAAUAAAACCAUUAUGAACAAAAUGUGACUCAGUCU